GAUGAACGCUGGCGGCGUGCCUAAUACAUGCAAGUCGAGCGAACGGACGAGAAGCCUGCUUCUCUGAUGUUAGCGGCGGACGGGUGAGUAACACGUGGAUAACCUACCUAUAAGACUGGGAUAACUUCGGGAAACCGGAGCUAAUACCGGAUAAUAUUUUGAACCGCAUGGUUCAAAAGUGAAAGACGGUCUUGCUGUCACUUAUAGAUGGAUCCGCGCUGCAUUAGCUAGUUGGUAAGGUAACGGCUUACCAAGGCAACGAUGCAUAGCCGACCUGAGAGGGUGAUCGGCCACACUGGAACUGAGACACGGUCCAGGCUCCUACGGGAGGCAGCAGUAGGGAAUCUUCCGCAAUGGGCGAAAGCCUGACGGAGCAACGCCGCGUGAGUGAUGAAGGUCUUCGGAUCGUAAAACUCUGUUAUUAGGGAAGAACAUAUGUGUAAGUAACUGUGCACAUCUUGACGGUACCUAAUCAGAAAGCCACGGCUAACUACGUG
rnacentral:rRNA from 1 species